ACUCCUACGGGGAGGCAGCAGUAGGGGAAUCUUCCACAAUGGACGGAAACGUCUGAUGGAGCAACGCCGCGUGAGUGAAGAAGGGUUUCGGCUCGUAAAACUCUGUUGUUAAAGAAGAACAUAUCUGAGAGUAACUGUUCAGGUAUUGACGGUAUUUAACCAGAAAGCCACGGCUAACUACGUGCCAGCAGCCGCGGUAAUACGUAGGUGGCAAGCGUUGUCCGGAUUUAUUGGGGCGUAAAGCGAGCGCAGGCGGUUUUUAAGUCUGAUGUGAAAGCCUUCGGCUCAACCGAAGAAGUGCAUCGGAAACUGGGAAAACUUGAGUGCAGAAGAGGACAGUGGGAACUCCAUGUGUAGCGGUGAAAUGCGUAGAUAUAUGGAAGAACACCAGUGGCGAAGGCGGCUGUCUGGUCUGUAACUGACGCUGAGGCUCGAAAGUAUGGGGUAGCAAACAGGAUUAGAUACCCUGGUAGGAUAGCG
rnacentral:rRNA from 1 species